GGAUUAGAUACCCGGGUAGUCCACGCCCUAAACGAUGUCAACUAGUUGUUGGGGAUUCAUUUCCUUAGUAACGAAGCUAACGCGUGAAGUUGACCGCCUGGGGAGUACGGUCGCAAGAUUAAAACUCAAAGGAAUUGACGGGGACCCGCACAAGCGGUGGAUGAUGUGGAUUAAUUCGAUGCAACGCGAAAAACCUUACCUACCCUUGACAUGGUCGGAAUCCUGCUGAGAGGCGGGAGUGCUCGAAAGAGAGCCGAUACACAGGUGCUGCAUGGCUGUCGUCAGCUCGUGUCGUGAGAUGUUGGGUUAAGUCCCGCAACGAGCGCAACCCUUGUCCUUAGUUGCUACGCAAGAGCACUCUAGGGAGACUGCCGGUGACAAACCGGAGGAAGGU
rnacentral:rRNA from 1 species